rnacentral:rRNA from 1 species
UACGUAGGGUGCAAGCGUUGUCCGGAAUUAUUGGGCGUAAAGAGCUCGUAGGCGGUUUGUUGCGUCGGCUGUGAAAUCCCGGGGCUCAACCCCGGAACUGCAUUGGAUACUGCCAUGCUAGAGUACUGGAGAGGAGAUUGGAAUUUACGGUGUAGCAGUGAAAUGCGUAGAUAUCGUAAGGAAGACCAGUGGCGAAGGCGAAUCUCUGGACAGUUACUGACGCUGAGGCACGAAGGCCAGGGGAGCAAACGGG